AGAUAUUAUCCCCUUGUAGUGUAGUUUAAUAGCUAUCUACAUAUUAACUUAAUAUAAAGUAUAAUAGUUUAUAUUUUAUAAUAUGACGUUAACAAUUUUGUUUAAUAUUUGAAAAUGUUAGUAUUAGUAAUAUUAGUAUAUGUGCUAAAGGAACUCGGCAAAAAACCACUCAACUGUUUAUCAAAAACAUAGCUAUAUGAAUUAAUAUAUAGUUAUUUCUGCUCAAUGAUUUAAAUAGCCGCAGUACUCUGACUGUGCAAAGGUAGCAUAAUCAGUUGGCUUUUAAUUAGAGUCUGGUAUGAACGAAAAUAUGGGUAGUAACUGUCUUAGCACAUUUUUUCGAACUUAUUAAACAAGUGCAAAUGCUUGUAAUUUAACAAUAGACGAGAAGACCCUAGAAACUUGGACAAGUUUUUGUUGGGGCGACAGAAUUACACUUAACUAAUCUUAUAAUACAUGACGCGAUGUUGAAAGAAUAAGUUACUCUAGGGAUAACAGCAUAAUUUCAUUAGUUUGUGACCUCGAUGUUGGACUAGGUACUAUACCCUUAAGGCAAGGAUAUAUUAUGCUCUGUUCGAGCAAAAUUACCUACAUGAUCUGAGUUCAGACCGG
rnacentral:rRNA from 1 species